AGAUUGAACGCUGGCGGCAUGCCUAACACAUGCAAGUCGAACGGGAGUAGCAAUACUCUAGUGGCGGACGGGUGAGGAAUACGUAGGAAUUUGCCCUUAAGUGGGGGAUAACCCGGGGAAACCCGGAUUAAUACCGCAUGACCUCGAAAGAGCAAAGUGGGGGAUCGCAAGACCUCACGCUUUUGGAGAAGCCUACGUCGGAUUAGCUAGUUGGUGAGGUAAUGGCUCACCAAGGCGACGAUCCGUAAACUGGUCUGAGAGGAUGAUCAGUCACACCGGAACUGAGACACGGUCCGGACUCCUACGGGAGCAGCAGUGGGGAAUAUUGGACAAUGGGCGCAAGCCUGAUCCAGCAAUGCCGCGUGUGUGAAGAAGGCCUUCGGUUGUAAGCACGUUUAAGUAGGGAAAGAAAAACGUACGACUAC
rnacentral:rRNA from 1 species